rnacentral:rRNA from 1 species
GCAUAUCAAUAAGCGGAGGAAAAGAAAAUAACAAUGAUUCCCCUAGUAACGGCGAGCGAAGAGGGAAUAGCUCAAAUUUUAAAUCUGUUGGGUUUUACCUAACCGAGUUGUAAUUUGAAGAAACGUUUUCUGCGUGUUUGAUUUAGCCCAAAUCCUUUGGGAUAAGGUAUCAUGGAGGGUGAGAAUCCCGUCCGGCCUAAUCAAAUGUGCUUUAUGAUACGUUUUCUAAGAGUCGAGUUGUUUGGGAUUGCAGCUCAAAAUGGGAGGUAAAUUUCUCCUAAGGCUAAAUAUAGGCGAGAAACCGAUAGCGAACAAGUACCGUGAGGGAAAGAUGAAAAGGACUUUGAAAAGAGAGUUAAACAGUACGUGAAAUUGUUGAAAGGGAAACGAUUAAAGUCAGUCGUACUAACGGGGAAUCAACCUUUUGAGGGUGGACUUGUGGGAUUCGAAGUGCCUUUGUUUUUCACAACCUGCUUUUUUUGGGUGUACUUUCUCGUAUUGUAGGUCAACAUCGGUUUCGACCGUUAUAAAAUGACUGGAGGAAUGUGGCUUCGACCUCGGUUGAAGUGUUAUAGCCUUUGGUAGAUGUAACGGAUGGGAUCGAGGAUUGCAAUGAAUACCCUCAUGGGCUAUCCGCCUGGCCUCUGACAUGUCACCCUGGUGCUGAAAGCUUGCUUAUGGUAUUAUAGUGUACGGUCAAAAGGUUAGAACGGAUUAAAUUCGUUAAGGAUGUUGACGUA